rnacentral:lncRNA from 13 species
AGAGAGAGACAACAGACACACAUACAGGCCUACAGUAGGACUAGGUUCCAGAGAGAGACAACAGACACACAUACAGGCCUACAGUAGGACUAGGUUCCAGAGAGAGACAACACACACAUGCAGGUCUACAGUCCACUGGGCUGCCUGGCCCUCCUUCCCUCCACAAUACAUAGUCUUUCCCUGCUUCCACACAAAGCUGAAUGUUAAUCUGCACGUAGCAUCUAGUCAGUCACCUAUCCCUGAUAUUCUCAGUAGUGAAAACGUGUGUGUUCACCACUGUCUGCUAAACCAAUCAAAUGUAAAAAUUGAAUACAUAUAUAUUUUUACAAUAAUAAUAAUUAUUAUUUACUACCACUACUACUGCUCACCAGUCCACACUAGCCUGUUAUUACAGGAUCUCAAGUUCAAAGCCAAAAUCAAUGAGACUGGGUAGCAGGGCCAUCAUCUGUUUGCUCUAUAAAAAAAAUAUAUAUAAAAAUUUAAAAAAAGGUCAGACUAGCAACACACUGGGUCAAUGGGUCAAACGACCUCGGAGCCCAGUUCAAGUGUAACAGCUGCAGAGUUCAAAAGGUCAAAGCACAGUCCGGGGCAAAAAGAUUAGCAAAAAAAAAAAUACAACCUUUGAAAUUGAAGGAGGUAGAUUACCAUUAGACAACCGGAGAGCAAAGCCAGUUCACAGCACACAAGAUUAGGCCGAAGCAGACUAAAUGUCCUUUUGUUUAGCUACAUCUGUGUGCCAUGCAUUAAGUGAGUGCAACAGAGGUUUAGGCCCCUUUAAAACGGACUGCCUGUUGACUUUGCAUGAACAGCAUUAUAAAAGUGAUUAGUACCAAAACAGGAAGUUAAUAGUGUCAGGGGAAGCGCUUCAAAAACGAUGAUUAAUAUCUCCCUCCCUAACAGGAAUUUCAAGACGUUCUUCUAGCACAGCGAUGACAGGGUCAGGUUUGGAUGUUGUAAACUAAUUGUCGAAUGGACAAACGCAUAUCAGUAUACAAGCUAGGUACACUACACACACACACACACACCAGGAGUCACGUUAACGCAGAACUCAGUAUUUUACUGUGUUUUGUAAACGCUGAUCUAAAAAAACAUCUUAUUGUAAUUUCUGAUUAUUUUAAUGUCUGCUUAUUGUAAUUUCUGCUUAUUGUAAUUUCAGACAUGUUGUGCUUCAGUCGCACUUCUCCACUCGGAUGAGAUUUCACAGGCAUUCUAUCAGCAGACGGCACUCUGGCUGAUGUCUAGAUACUUUUCUCCUGUAAAAAAGCUAGACUAACUUAAAGCAAAACAUUAGGACAUGUAGCUGGCUACAUGUCCCAUGAUAAACAUUUGAAAUAGAAUGGCCAUGCAUAGUUUUUUGCAAAAAAAAAAAAGAAACUUGCUAUUUCAUUAUAAGCUAUAUAAAACACAGCUGAAAUGGUUUAAAAACCAGAGCGCGAACACACACACACACACACACACACACCUGUGUAUACAGCCAGAUGAAUCAUCAUAAUUGGAGCAGGUUUUCUGCUGAGGCCAGUGGUCUGUGUGUUAUUUUUAGGCCUGGCAGCGGCAGCCUGUAACCCUCCCCGGGGGCUGGCCAGCCCGUAACCCUCCCCGGGUUGGCCAACCCGUAACCCGAGCGAUACAGCACGAAGGGGAGGAGCGACACAGUACGAAGGGGAGGAGCGAUACAGUACGAAGGUCCAGACAUAGUGCUGUCAGUCAGCCAGUUACUGGGUCCAGGUAUAGUGCCGUCAGUCAGCCAGUUACUGGGUCCAGACAUAGUGCAGUCAGUCAGCCAGUUACUGGGUCCAGGCAUAGUGCAGUCAGUCAGCCAGUUACUGGGUCCAGACAUAGUGCUGUCAGUCAGCCAGUUACUGGGUCCAGGCAUAGUGCCGUCAGCCAGCCAGGGAGUCAGUGGGUUAGUUAGGGGGUCUGGGCAGUGUGGGGUGAUGCUCACACUAGAAACAAGACGAGGGGUAUAUAUUUCAGCUUGAGUUUCUGCACUGAGGAUUGCUCUAUAUUUAGCUGGAUGAUGAAGUCGGCAUGGCAACACACAGCAAAGCCAACUAACUCCUAAACAUAUUCAGUUCUAUAUGGAACACACCAAAACACCCCCAAGAUAACACAGGGCUGACGACAAAUUGUUCAAUCUUGUAUGAGAUGUGUGUACGUAAAACACAGAUCAAAUUCAAUAAAACAGACAAACAAAGGAACAGAUGUGAAGACAGACAGUAGCCGUGGCAGGAUUGGUCACUGGGCAGAGCGCGAUACUAACGGCAUAGUCUCCUCUAAACUCGGUGUAGCAACAGAGAAGUAAAUAUAUCCACAUCAGCUCAUCAGUCAGAGUGCAGACCGCCACCUCAUAAAUUAACACUGAUACUGCUACAGACAACACCAGACAAGCCGCUGAGAGAUUUAAACCACUCAUGUUGGAUGCUGCCCCUAAAUGAUCUGCUUCCUGUCACCUAAUCUAACUUUACCCAUUAAAAACACUAAUCUAGGGGGCAGUUCUGUUCUUCGUCAACCAUAGACGGAUUGAUCAGAUCACCACAUUGCACAUGGAUGCAUGGCCUUUCUACACCUACCUCUGUACACUAGGGAUAUACGAUCAGCUACACCUAUACUAAUACUAAGUUCCCUUCACUUGAAACUCAUUCCCAGAAGGCUGGGAUCGACCUGCACCUGAAUCAGGUUUGAAUUAACCCUACAUAUGAAUUAAGCACAUUUUAUGAGUUGGACACUUUUAAAUAGGUAGAAGGAAAUGAUUGGAUGUUGGGCAUAUUUGAGGCAUCUCAGGUAGGAAUAAAAUCCAUGUUGUCCGGCAGCACUGUGAAAACACCAGGAAAAAGAUGAAACCUUAUAAAGGAACUGAACCCAGCUGUAAAUGAUUAGGGAUGGUAAAACUUUCUCCAUCUGUAUUCAUAGUCACCAUGUCAUCAACUAUGAUCCAUUUUCCAGUGAGAUCCCGCUAAAUGAGAUCCCGCUAAAUGAGAUCCCGGCUAAAUGAGAUCCCGGCUAAAUGAGAUCCCACUAAUUGAGAUCAUGCUAAAUAAGAUCACGCUAAAUGAGAUCCCACUAAAAGCAUUUUUGCAGCUGCAGUGCUGGUUGUCGUUGUGGGUUGGGAAAGUUGGGAAAAAAAACACGCAUUUUAUGGCUUAUAACAGUGUUGAAUAGAAAGUGUUGACAGUGCUGAGUAAAAAGUUAAACAUGAGCUCACUUAUAAAAACAGAAGCUCUUUGCUGUAUUCGUUGAGUCCCUCUAGUCAUGGUUUUUAAAAGUUUCUAAAUCUCACCAGUAUGAACCUUGCCGUGCGUUCCAGGGGUCUUUUUACGGUCUAUGGCUCAAGGAAAUGGUGAUCUGAGCUGUCUGAUUGGCCAGCGGGCCCCGCCGGAUAGGCAGAGUUCUACCUUCAAACGUUCUUAACGGACUUGCCUAAUUAAAUAAAGGUUAAAUAAAUAAAAAGUGAAAUGAUUCAAAAUUGGAGCACUUUGCCUUCCCGGUGCUAGGGCUGCCGAAUCAAAUGGUUCAAAAUGGGAGCACUUUGCCUUCCCGGUGCUAGGGCUGCCGAAUCAAAUGGUUCAAAAUGGGAGCACUUUGCCUUCCCGGUGCUAGGGCUGCCGAAUCAAAUGGUUCAAAAUGGGAGCACUUUGCCUUCCCGGUGCUAGGGCUGCCGAAUCAAAUGGUUCAAAAUGGGAGCACUUUGCCUUCCCGGUGCUAGGGCUGCCGAAUCAAAUGCACCUAUCGCCAACAGCCUGAAACAAAAAAUAAAAACGCAAGGCUUUUUCGUUGUUGUUUUUUACAGUAUUGUUUGGUGGUCGACACCUUAGAGAUCGACCAGUCGAUCGUGAACGACCGGCAGGUGAUCACUGCUCUAGCCCUAACCUGGGGAGACAGAAUAACAGCUCAAAGAACUUUGUCCAGUAGUGGUUUCUCAUUGAGGGAAUAAAACCGUUCAAAUGGGCCUUUAAAUGGCCAUGAACAAGCAGUCUGGUAUUUAAGUCCUAAACACAUGCAACUGCUAUGGAUGUCUGUUCUGUUUUGAUGCUGUUACAGGAUUUUCAUGACCACAAACUAAAAGACAACCAAUGUAAUGCAGCAGGAUCCACCCCUGUAAGCACCCGUGUCUGGACAGAGAGGGAGGGAGCUGCCUAACGAGAUUGGAAACAACCGACAAGCCUGAGUACAGACAGACCGAGAUGAUCAGAGAUUCUCCUUGGAAGGCAGUCCUCUAGGAGCCGACAGCACAGUGGGAGGGGGAGUAAAUAAGACAGCAUCAAUAAUAGACAGUGAAUGUUCUGAGCUCACAGCCCUGGCUGGUUCCUAUCCUCCAGACAGACCUGCUGGCCUCCGCUCCACACGCACACAGAUUCACUGUCCUGACUAAUCGGUUCUGAUAGGCCUUUGCCAUAAUUACCCAGGGCCUCAUCACAAACUUAUGCGAUGCAUAUUUCAUGUCCAGGCUGUACAGUAGACUGCACUGGCAGUCAAUUGAGGAAAAGCCAAAUCCCAGGCAAAUUUACACACUCCACUUCAAAGAGGGAGAAAAUACAUUUUAAAAAGGUAGAGAGAGCACGCAAGUUACUGAAAUAUUUUCUGUGAUCUCUAGAUGAAUCACAGGCAGAAGGAAGG